GCGGCGGCGGCGGCGGCGGCGGCGGGGGAGGGGCGCGGCGGGGGAGGGGAGGCCUGACCCGCGGCCGCCGCUCCGACUGACCCGACCACCCUGACCGCCGCGGGCGACGGGCCCGAGACGGCGCCCCGGACUCGCCUCGGCUCGGCCGCGCGUAUAUUUCCCUGCCUCCACUGAUCUCCAAUACUGAUAAACUGGAAGAAACUAAGGUAACAGGAAAGAGAAAAGUAACUGGGACUGAGAAAAAGAAAGAAAAAUGGACUCUGCACAGAAAACCUGGAGUCUGCAGACUCCAGGUUAAAAUCCUGAUGUGGGGAACCAAUGAGAAUGGUUGACAGAGCACAGACAAGAACUCAUGCAACAAGCAGAUCAAAGGACUGAAAAAGCACUUUGUAAUCUAUGAUUUUUUACCAAAGGAAAUGUUAGAGAUUCCUAGUUGUCUUUUGAGAUAUAUAGAUAAGUAAUAACAGUGAAAGGUAUGUAAAUGCUGACAAUAUUCUAGGCUUAAUCAUGAAGUUUUAGAGAGAAGGUCAUCUAAACUAGUGGUUCCUAAAUGGCUAAGUAGGUUGCCAAUUGUCCUUUCUUGGGAAGGUCUGCCCUUUGUUCUGACAUCAUAUAUGUAUAUUUGCAUAGGAUAAAUAUAUAAUACAUAUUCAGAUGUGAUAUAAUUUUUAGUGUAUGUGUGUACAUAUAUGUAUAUGCCUGUGUAUUUAAAAUAUAUUUGUUAAAAAUGUGCUUUCUGAAAAUGAGGUAGGUCUGUAUAGAAGGCUGUCCAUGAUAGAUUUUGUAGAGAAAGAGAAAAAGAAAAU